rnacentral:rRNA from 1 species
GACGAACGCUGGCGGCGUGCCUAAUACAUGCAAGUAGAACGCACAGUUUAUACCGUAGCUUGCUACACCAUACACUGUGAGUUGCGAACGGGUGAGUAACGCGUAGGUAACCUGCCUGGUAGCGGGGGAUAACUAUUGGAAACGAUAGCUAAUACCGCAUAAUAUUAAUUAUUGCAUGAUAAUUGAUUGAAAGAUGCAAUUGCAUCACUACCAGAUGGACCUGCGUUGUAUUAGCUAGUAGGUGAGGUAACGGCUCACCUAGGCGACGAUACAUAGCCGACCUGAGAGGGUGGUCGGCCACGCUGGGACUGUGACACGCCCCAGACUCCUACGGGAGGCAGCAGUAGGGAAUCGUCGGCAAUGGACGAAAGUCUGACCGAGCAACGCCGCGUGAGUGAAGAAGGUUGUCGGAUCGUAAAGCUCUGUUGUAAGGGAAGAACGGGUGUGAGAGUGGAAAGUUCACACUGUGACGGUAUCUUACCAGAAAGGGACGGCUAACUACGUG